GUGCUCACUUCAGCAGCCCAUGUAGUAAAAUCAGAAUGACACAGAGAUUAGCAUGGCCUCUGCACAAGGAUGCCACAGAAAUUCGUGACGCGUUCUGCAUUUUC